CCACAAGAGAGGAGCCCCGAAGAGAAGAUACAAGGACUCCCUGAUGCAACAUCUCAGCCUUGGCCACACUGAUCUUCAUCGCUGGUCUACCUUGGCCUCCAGUCAGGAGGCUGGCCAUGUCUCUGG